rnacentral:lncRNA from 1 species
CAGGUUUGGGGUGUGUCUUUUACAGUAAACAUAGCACCCCUGACCCCACCUCCUUUAUCACUUGGCUCUGGCUGUGAAAAGAAAGAGAAGAAAAGUAGGUUUGUUUAGUGUGAACUCUUUUCUGAAGCCAACAGGGAGAACAAGAUUUGAAACAAGAGGAGACUGAGCUGGGUUCAAUGGUUAACCAGUCAGAUUAAUAAAUGCUAGAAGGAGGAAAUAGCCAGUAAGUAAAGAGGCAAGAAAAAAUGUCUCCCCGUGGUUCAAAAGCCAACUAAAGUUUACCAAGAGCUGUGACCUGUGGUUAAAAUGUCCUCAGAGGCCAACUCUCAUCUGAUUCCAACCUGAAGGCCCAUUUCCUAUCGGGAGAGCCAUUUGGCUCCUCUCUAAGGCUAAACAGCCCUGAGGUGUGGUAGCCUCACACUGACCCACGCAGAACUCAACAGAACCGUCCGGGCUGCAGACGUCUCAGGGUUCUGCUCCAACUGCAUAGACUUCUUUCAUGGAACCAGCUCCUCUAUCCCCACAAGCCUUCUCCCCAACACAGUUUCUACCUAGAAUCAGAUGGAGAGCUUUAGACCAGGAAUGAGGCAGCGAGAAGCCAGAUUCUGCUGGAGACAGAGCAGAGAGCCAAACCAUCGCCAUUUACUGGUGCAUGACCCUGGGCAAGAUUCCAUGAGUAUGUGUGGGAACCCCAGACAAAUGCAACUUGAAUGUCACAAAAGGCAUUUUUCUUCGCUGAGUGACCGUGGUUGGCCCAGACACCUCGGGUCCCUUGCUCCCACAGAUUUGUAAAACUAAGGAAGAUCCCUUUCUGCUGAGAGAAUGGAUUGGAAUUAAAACUUAGCAUAGAAGGCCUUGUGUGAAACUGUAUGGACUUUUGUCUUACAACUGGGUUAUUUUUUAAUUAGGUUUCUGUCGAUCUUUUCUAAACUCUGAAGUAUGUCAGCAUGGAAACUCAGUAACUUUUCUCAAUGCUCCCCAUAAAGCUAAAAAUUAAAAAGAAAAGAAGAGAAAGAAAAAGGGAAAAAAUUAAAAUUUCACAGCAAGAAGUUCUAGCCUCUGAGAUUUUGUCACUGUUGCAAAAGUAAUAGGUCAUCUUUGUCAUAACCUCAAUGCUAAAAAGUAGACGCACCAAAGAGCAAUUUUUAUCCCAAAGUCUUCUUGGCGAUGAGAUUUUUUUUCCUACUUCAGAUUUGGUGUGCUUCCAGAAACCCAAGGGCCCUAAAUCAAUAUCGAGGGACUGCUUCCAACUCAUAAGAGCCUCUCGGGCUCAUUGCAAAUGUGGGCACUGGGUUCCAGAGGGACAGGCUUAAAGAACUUGAUGGCAAAAAUGGGAAGCCCGGGCUCUGUGGCUGACCUCAGUUGCAGGAUCCGUGCUGGGACAGCCUGUCCUCCACUCCAUGAUUUGUGAGGGCCUGCCUGGUAUUGCUAAUCUUCCUGACAGUUUAUUUUGAAGCGAAAGGGGGCCAGUGGCACUGUAGGCAACAUCAGACAAGCCACAGAUCUCCUGGGAGAUCUAUGCUCUCCGGGAGGCAGAUAACAAUAUGUUGCUUUUCCACAGGGUUGUUAAUAUACAUAUGAAUCCCAAAGCCAAGAACGGGCUCUUCAAACUGGUUUAUUUAAACACUUUUUCUGGGGCACACAUUUCAAGAAGGGGAUAAAGAGGGGAUGAUGUGGAUCCUGUGCUGUCCUCAAAGAAGGGAAGGUGGAAUGCUGUGUUUCCAGUGUAGAAUCUGGCACAGAAACCACCCAUAGCAGGUGCGCCACAGACCUGUUUCAGCUGGAAGGAUCCUUUCUAUCUUCCUUCCACCACCUAGUGAGUGGCCACGUUGAUGAUGAGACCUGGGGCCUUUAAAAAUCCUCUUUCAAGUCUCCAGCCAACCCUCUCCAUUCAACUCACUUUCACAAACCUUAUCUCAGCAGCCACCCAUUCCCAAGGACUCAGUGGGUGCCACAGGGGAGGCAGAGGUGAAGGAGACACAGUGCCUUCUGCUGAUUCUGCAGCUGAGUCAGCCGAUAGCCUGUGUCUAUUUGCCAAGAAUAUGACCAACUGAGUGAAAACAACAAAACGAUAAAAGCUGAGUCGGUGAGAUGACUAGACUCGGGAGGAUAAUGAGAAUGUCCGAGCUAUGAGUCCCCUGGAGGCCAAGGCAAGUUUGCAGAUGGCAUGGUAACAGCAGGGUGGUUGCUGAGGGAACCUGAAACCAUGUCGCACGGAAAAGAUUUGUAGGAGUGGAGGACCUUUGGCCUGGAGAAGAAAAGCUUCGGAGAACAGAAAGGCUGGUUUCACAUACCUGAGAGACUGUCAUGGGGAAGAGCCACCCUUUGUUCUCUGGGGGCCCAGAGGAUAGAACAGGACUAUGGUGGGGAUAAGUAGGGGGACCGAUUGCAGCUCAAAAUUGUGAAGUCUUGUCCUUGUCAGAGCUAUCCCAGGUGGAGUGGCAGGUACCGGGAGGUGGUGAGUUCCGGUCAUUGCAGGGAUUUCAGUCGGGGUGGAGAGUCCACUGACAAAGACGCUGUGGAGAAGAACCAAGCAUGGGAGGAGGGUGGAGGGCCUGAUCUUCUAAGCUUCACUCUCUGCCUGGGAGUCUUGGAUUCCUCCCUCCUCUUACUAUAACUUAAUGAGCUGCUAACGCCAACACCUGGCUUCUUAUUCCAACAUGCUGAAAUGUGAACGGGGAAGACUGGCAUCACAGGUGGGCAAAUUAACAACAAACUCCCUCAGGGGUCUCCAGAACGAGAGAGAAGGGACAAAGACAGAAGCGUUCUGUGUGCCUGCAAGUUGGAUUUGGAGUCUACACACUGUGCCUCUGGGUGUUGAGCAGAAGAGGGGUCCCUUUGCUGUGUCUUUAGCAAGGUGACAAGCAAGACAGCAGGGUAGCACAGCCUGGGGCUCACAGGCAGCAGGUCACCUUCAGCUCCCCAGGCCCCUCUGUCAUGGACUCAGGCCACUGCUGGGACUCAGUCAGCCAGGACAGGGAGAGCACAGACGGCACUGCUCCACGGGCUGGGCACAGCAAACAGCCCUUCUCCACGCUCCCACUCUUCCCGGCAGACAGGGUGCCUGGGGCGUGACUCGAGGGAACUCAGCCUAUUCAUCUCACCCGCUUCUGCCUAUCUCUGCACACACACUUUUGUUGUUGUUAAAACCAUGAGCAGCUUUUUCCUGAUACCACAGUCUAGGAAAUCGAUGCCUCAUUCAGUGAGCCAGCACUUGCUGUGCUCUUGCCACAGGCUGGGGCUGUGUGGAUGGAUGCCCUGUUGCUAAGGGAGCACACAGGAGGGAGCUAGCUCGGGCUGGGGCUUUACGGAAGGCUUCCCAGUACAAAUGAUUAGCGCUACCCGUCAGCAAAUCAGGAGACUGGGCCUGUAGGGAGAUGAGACUGAGGAAGUCACUCUGAACACACACGAGGGGCCUGAUUGUCAUCUGAAAUGCCUGAUGUUUUCCUGUUGGUUACGGGAAACAGAGGGAUGACAUAGAUUGAUUUAUAGAGAUUUUUCUGCCUACAUCAAAGGCAUCAUACAAAAGAAAGUAGGACUAGUGGCAAAGAAACGAGUCAGAAUUCUGUAACAGUUUAGUCGAGACAUUAGAAGACCCUGAGCUAGCUCAGUGGUAGCAGGGUGGGAAGGAGGGGACCAAAAGGAGAAAUAUUUUGGAUUUAAAAAAUUAACAAGACUGUCCAACAAAUAGAAGAUACAAAGACAAAUGAUUCAAUAAGGCAAGGGUCAAAAGACUUGAACAGGCACCUCACAAAAGAAGAUAAUGCCCAAUGAAGCACAGGCGAGAGUGUUCAACAUCAUUAAACAUCAGGGAAAUGCGAGUUCAAACUAUAACAAGAUAGUAGUUCAUACCCCUUAGAAUGGCUAAAAUCAAAACGAAUGAUCAUGCCAAGUGCUGGUGGGCAUAUGAGGAACCUGGAACUCUCAUGCCCUGCUGCUGGGAGAGGCCAAUGGUAGAAACUCUUUGAAGGACUUUGAGAGUGUCUUAUAAAAGUACAUCUACCCAUACCAGGCGCGGUGGCUCAUGCCUGUAAUCCCAGCACUUUGGGAGGCCAAGGCAGGUGGAUCACGAGGUCAGGAGAUUGAGACCAUCCUGGCUAACACGGUGAAACCCCAUCUCUACUGAAAAUACAAAAAAUUAGUUGGUCGUGGUGGUGGGCACCUGUAGUCCCAGCUACUCAGGAGGCUGAGGCAGGAGAAUCACUUGAACCUGGGAGGUGGAGCUUGCAGUGAGCUGAGAUCAUGCCACUGCACUCCAGUCUGGGCAACAGAGUGAGACUCUGUCUCAAACAAGAAAAAAGUACAUCUACCCUAUGAGCAAGCAAUAAGCAAUUCCACUGCUAGGUAUUGCCCAAGAAAACUAUGUUCAUACAAACUUGUACAAGAAAAGUAUGUUCCCAAUAAAAUUGUGAAGAAUGUUUAUAGCCAUCUUACUGAAAUAUUGAAGAAAUGGCAGCAACCCAAAUGUCCAUCAGGAAGUACAUGAGGAAGUACAUGGAUAAACAACCUAUGGUAUGUCCAUAUAAUGGAAUACCACUAAGCAACAGAAAGGAACAAGCUAUUUCUAUAUUCAGUGUCACAUGGAUGACUAGCAAAAACAUUAUGGAAAGUGAAGGAAACCAGACCCAGAAUGGUAUACACUGUAUGAUUUCAUUUACGUGAAAUCCAAAUAUAGACAAACCAACAUGUAAUGUUAGACACCAGCUUGUGGGUUUAUGUAAGUGUUUUGGGGUGUUAGGUGGGGGGCUGUUGACCUGUUAGAGGCAUGAGGGAACUUCCUCAAAGAAUAGAAAUAUCUUAUAUUUUAUUUUGAAGAUUAUGACACGAAUGUGUAUGAUUGUCAAAAUUAAUCAAACUAAACAUUAAAAUCUGAUCUUUUUUUCUACGUAAACUUUAUUUAAAAAAAAAAACAAAAAAAAAACAAAAUAAAAACCAGGUCUGGGCCGGGCGUGGUGGCUCACGCCUGUAAUCCCAACACUUUGAGAGGCUGAGGCGGGCAGAUCACAAAGUCAGGAGUUUGAGACCAGGCUGGCCAACAUGGUGAAAACCCGUCUCUACUAAAAAUACACAAAUAGCCGGACAUGAUGGUGGUGCAUGCCUGUAAUCCCAGCUACUCAGGAGAUUGAGGUGCGGGAAUAGCUUGAACCUAGGAGGCGGAGGUUGCAGUGAGCCGAGAUCGCGCCACUGCACUCCAGCCUGGCCACAGAGUGAGACUCUGUCUCAAACAAAACAAAACAAAACCCAGGUCUGGUGAUUGAUUUCUAUUCGACCCUCACAUUUCUAGCUUGAAUGUUGGUGUGGAUGAUGGUGACCCUAAGACGGAUGAAGGAUGUGAGAGGAAGAGAAGGUAAAGGAGUAGAAAGAUGAGUCAAAUGUUAUAUAUAUGGAGUAUGUGGUGUCCAUUAUCACAGGCACCAGCCAGUGAUAUCCUGAAGGAUAAACAAACAAAGAAAAAAACCAACAAAAACAAAACCACCAGAAUCAAUGAGUCUGAAACUCAGAGAAGAGGUCGGGUUAGGGGCAUACCCCUGAGAGUCACUUGC